rnacentral:rRNA from 1 species
AGAGUUUGAUCAUGGCUCAGGACGAACGCUGGCGGCGCGCUUAACACAUGCAAGUCGAGCGAGAACCGGGGCUUCGGCCCCGGGGACAGCGGCGAACGGGUGAGUAACACGUGGAUAACCUGCCCUCGGCACCGGGAUAGCCCGGGGAAACCCGGAUUAAUACCGGAUGGCCCUUCCGGCUCACGAGCCGGUCGGAAAAGGUAGCUUCGGCCUCCGGCCGAGGAUGGGUCCGCGGCGGAUUAGCUCGUUGGUGGGGUAACGGACCACCAAGGCUAUGAUUGGUAGGGGUUCUGAGAGGAAGGUCCCCCACACUGGUACUGAGAUACGGACCAGACUCCUACGGGAGGCAGCAGUAGGGAAUAUUGGGCAAUGGAGGAGACUCUGACCCAGCCAUGCCGCGUGCAGGAAGAAGGCCUUCUGGGUUGUAAACUGCUUUUGAUCGGGAGCAAAAAGUCCAUGCGUGGAAUAUUGAGAGUACCGAUAGAAUAAGCACCGGCUAACUCCGUGCCAGCAGCCGCGGUAAUACGGAGGGUGCAAGCGUUGUCCGGAUUUAUUGGGUUUAAAGGGUGCGUAGGCGGCCCUGUAAGUCAGUGGUGAAAUACUUGAGCUUAACUGAAGGAUUGCCAUUGAUACUGUAGGGCUUGAGUACAGUUGAGGUAGGCGGAAUUGAUGGUGUAGCGGUGAAAUGCAUAGAUACCAUCAAGAACACCGAUUGCGAAGGCAGCUUACUAAGUUGUAACUGACGCUGAUGCACGAAAGCGUGGGGAUCGAACAGGAUUAGAUACCCUGGUAGUCC